rnacentral:rRNA from 1 species
AGCGAACGCUGGCGGCAGGCCUAACACAUGCAAGUCGAACGGACCCUUCGGGGUUAGGGGCGGACGGGUGAGUAACACGUGGGAACGUGCCUUUAGGUUCGGAAUAACUCAGGGAAACUUGUGCUAAUACCGAAUGUGCCCUUCGGGGGAAAGAUUUAUCGCCUUUAGAGCGGCCCGCGUCUGAUUAGCUAGUUGGUGAGGUAAAGGCUCACCAAGGCUACGAUCAGUAGCUGGUCUGAGAGGAUGACCAGCCACAUUGGGACUGAGACACGGCCCAAACUCCUACGGGAGGCAGCAGUGGGGAAUCUUGCGCAAUGGGCGAAAGCCUGACGCAGCCAUGCCGCGUGGAUGAUGAAGGUCCUAGGAUUGUAAAAUCCUUUCACCGGUGAAGAUAAUGACUGUAGCCGGAGAAGAAGCCCCGGCUAACUUCGUGCCAGCCGCCGCCGUAACAC